UUUGCCUACGGGGCGCAGCAGUGGGGGAUAUUGCACAAUGGGGGAAACCCUGAUGCAGCGACGCCGCGUGUAGGAAGACGGUCCUCUGGAUUGUAAACUACUGUCCCCAGGGACGAAGAUGACGGUACCUGGGGAGGAAGCUCCGGCUAACUACGUGCCAGCAGCCGCGGUAAUACGUAGGGAGCGAGCGUUGUCCGGAAUUACUGGGUGUAAAGGGAGCGUAGGCGGGGAUGCAAGUUGGGUAUUAAAUCUACCGG
rnacentral:rRNA from 1 species